GAUGAACGCUAGCGGCAGGCUUAACACAUGCAAGUCGAGGGGUAGGAGAAGCUUGCUUUUCUGAGACCGGCGCACGGGUGCGUAACGCGUAUGCAAUCUACCUUUCACAGAGGGAUAGCCCAGAGAAAUUUGGAUUAAUACCUCAUAGUAUAAUUGAAUGGCAUCAUUUAAUUAUUAAAGAUUUAUCGGUGAAAGAUGAGCAUGCGUCCCAUUAGCUAGUUGGUAUGGUAACGGCAUACCAAGGCAACGAUGGGUAGGGGUCCUGAGAGGGAGAUCCCCCACACUGGUACUGAGACACGGACCAGACUCCUACGGGAGGCAGCAGUGAGGAAUAUUGGACAAUGGGCGCAAGCCUGAUCCAGCCAUGCCGCGUGCAGGAUGACGGUCCUAUGGAUUGUAAACUGCUUUUAUACAGGAAGAAACCCCUCUACGUGUAGAGACUUGACGGUACUGUAAGAAUAAGGAUCGGCUAACUCCGUGCCAGCAGCCGCGGUAAUACGGAGGAUCCAAGCGUUAUCCGGAAUCAUUGGGUUUAAAGGGUCCGUAGGCGGUCAGGUAAGUCAGUGGUGAAAGCCCAUCGCUCAACGGUGGAACGGCCAUUGAUACUGUCUGACUUGAAUUAUUAGGAAGUAACUAGAAUAUGUAGUGUAGCGGUGAAAUGCUUAGAGAUUACAUGGAAUACCAAUUGCGAAGGCAGGUUACUACUAAUAUAUUGACGCUGAUGGACGAAAGCGUGGGUAGCGAACAGGAUUAGAUACCCUGGUAGUCCACGCCGUAAACGAUGGAUACUAGCUGUUGGGCGCAAGUUCAGUGGCUAAGCGAAAGUGAUAAGUAUCCCACCUGGGGAGUACGAACGCAAGUUUGAAACUCAAAGGAAUUGACGGGGGCCCGCACAAGCGGUGGAGCAUGUGGUUUAAUUCGAUGAUACGCGAGGAACCUUACCAAGGCUUAAAUGUAGAUUGACCGUUUGGAAACAGAACU
rnacentral:rRNA from 1 species